AGCCGCGGUAACACGUAGGGUGCGAGCGUUGUCCGGAAUUAUUGGGCGUAAAGAGCUCGUAGGCGGUGUGUCGCGUCGGCCGUGAAAACCUGUAGCUUAACUGUGGGCUUGCGGUCGAUACGGGCAUCACUGGAGUUCGGCAGGGGAGACUGGAAUUCCUGGUGUAGCGGUGAAAUGCGCAGAUAUCAGGAGGAACACCGGUGGCGAAGGCGGGUCUCUGGGCCGAUACUGACGCUGAGGAGCGAAAGCGUGGGGAGCGAACAGGAUUAGAUACCCUGGUAGUCCACGCCGUAAACGUUGGGCGCUAGGUGUGGGGGCCAUUCCACGGUCUCUGUGCCGUAGCUAACGCAUUAAGCGCCCCGCCUGGGGAGUACGGCCGCAAGGCUAAAACUCAAAGGAAUUGACGGGGGCCCGCACAAGCGGCGGAGCAUGUGGAUUAAUUCGAUGCAACGCGAAGAACCUUACCUGGGUUUGACAUGCGCCAGACGCUGGUAGAGAUAUCAGUUCCCUUGUGGUUGGUGUGCAGGUGGUGCAUGGCC
rnacentral:rRNA from 1 species